rnacentral:rRNA from 1 species
CCUACGGGGGGCAGCAGUGGGGAAUAUUGCACAAUGGGGGGAACCCUGAUGCAGCAACGCCGCGUGGGUGAAGAAGUACUUCGGUACGUAAAGCCCUGUCAGCAGGGAAGAAAAUGACGGUACCUGACCAAGAAACCCCGGCUAACUACGUGCCAGCAGCCGCGGUAAUACGGAGGGGGCAAGCGUUAUCCGGAUGUACUGGGUGUAAAGGGAGCGUAGACGGCAAGGCAAGUCUGGAGUGAAAGCCCGGGGCUCAACCACGGGACUGCUUUGGAAACUGUGUUGCUGGAGUGCAGGAGGGGUAAGCGGAAUUCCUGGUGUAGCGGUGAAAUGCGUAGAUAUUAGGAGGAACACCGGUGGCGAAGGCGGCUUACUGGACUGUAACUGACGUUGAGGCUCGAAGGCGUGGGGAGCAAACAGGAUUAGAUACCCGGGUAGUC